rnacentral:ncRNA from 1 species
GUAACUCUGGAGAAUCCCGUUAUGGGUGCCGAAGGUGUAAGGGGCGAAGAUUCGCUCUAAUCUCUCAGGCAAAAGGACAGAGAA